GAUGAACGCUGGCGGCGUGCCUAAUACAUGCAAGUCGAGCGAACAGAUAAGGAGCUUGCUCCUUUGACGUUAGCGGCGGACGGGUGAGUAACACGUGGAUAACCUACCUAUAAGACUGGGAUAACUUCGGGAAACCGGAGCUAAUACCGGAUAACAUAUUGAACCGCAUGGUUCAAUAGUGAAAGGCGGCUUUGCUGUCACUUAUAGAUGGAUCCGCGCCGUAUUAGCUAGUUGGUAAGGUAACGGCUUACCAAGGCAACGAUACGUAGCCGACCUGAGAGGGUGAUCGGCCACACUGGAACUGAGACACGGGCCAUACUCCUACGGGAGGCAGCAGUGGGGAAUCUUCCGCAAUAGGCGAAAGCCUGAGGGAGCAACGCCGCGUGAGUGAUGAAGGUCUUCGGAUCGUAAAACCCUGUUAUCAGGGAAGAACAAUUGGGUAAGAAACUCUGCACAUCUUUACGGUACCUGAUCAGAAAGCCAAGGCUAACUGCAGG
rnacentral:rRNA from 1 species